rnacentral:rRNA from 1 species
ACGAACGCUGGCGGCGUGCCUAACACAUGCAAGUCGAACGAGGACUAGGGAGCUUGCUCCCUAUAGCCGAGUGGCGGACGGGUGAGUAACACGUGACCAACCUGUCUUCAGGAGGGGGACAACCUGGGGAAACCCGGGCUAAUACCGCAUGAAGUCCGAUGCUCGCAUGAGCGACGGAUGAAAGGGGGCCUCUGCUUGCAAGCUCUCACCUGAAGAGGGGGUCGCGGCGUAUCAGCUAGUUGGUGAGGUAACGGCUCACCAAGGCGACGACGCGUAGCGGGUCUGAGAGGACGACCCGUCACAUUGGGACUGAGAUACGGCCCAGACUCCUACGGGAGGCAGCAGUGGGGAAUAUUGCGCAAUGGCCGCAAGGUUGACGCAGCGACGCCGCGUGUGGGAUGACGCCCUUCGGGGUGUAAACCACUGUCAGGGGGGAAGAACAACGGUUCGGUGAAUAUCCGGACCGCGUGACGGUACCCCCAGAGGAAGCGCCGGCUAACUCCGUG